rfam:Ectocarpus siliculosus strain Ec 32, whole genome shotgun sequence assembly, chromosome LG23
GGUUCCGUAGCUCAGUGGCAGAGCGUGCGACUGUUAAUCGCGAGGUCGAGGGUUCGAUGCCCUCCGGAACCG